rnacentral:rRNA from 1 species
AUGCAUCGUCUCUCGGUGCUUAGUGCUCGUCCGCAUGUGAUUUUGUUCCCUUCGGCGUCUUUCGCAGGCUGUGUUGGUCACUCUCCAGCGAUUUCUCUCAUGAUUUUCGUCGGUGGUGAUGAUCGCUCUACACCUACUUCUAUAGAAGGUUACACUUCAGCGACUCCUCUUGCGACCUCUGCACAUGGUGAUCAUUGCUCUACAUCUUCUCUCGUGCUUUUCAUGGACUACGCCUCGUACACACGCCUUCCCUUGGCGCUUGGUGCUUGUCUGCAUGUUACCUCGUCUCCUCCGUCUGCCUCUGCAGAUGAUACUUGUCAUGCUACACCGCCUUAUCUAUCAGCUCCACUCUUGCAUCCAUGA